rnacentral:tRNA from 1 species
AAUAAAGUGGCUGAGAAUUAAAGCGGUAGAUUGUAAAUCUAUACACGAAUUUAAAAAUUCCUUUAUUA